UACGGAGGGUGCAAGCGUUAUCCGGAUUUACUGGGUUUAAAGGGUGCGUAGGUGGGUAGGUAAGUCAGUGGUGAAAUCUUCGAGCUUAACUCGGAAACUGCCAUUGAUACUAUCUGUCUUGAAUAUUGUGGAGGUGAGCGGAAUAUGUCAUGUAGCGGUGAAAUGCUUAGAUAUGACAUAGAACACCAAUUGCGAAGGCAGCUCGCUACACAUAUAUUGACUCUGAGGCACGAAAGCGUGGGGAUCAAACAGG
rnacentral:rRNA from 1 species